GUCUCUUGUAGCUCAGUGGUACGUUUGAGCAUCCGAUCGGUGUGCGGAAGGUCAUGGGUUCGACUCCUGUGUCGGGGACU